rnacentral:rRNA from 1 species
UACAGAGGGUGCGAGCGUUAAUCGGAAUUACUGGGCGUAAAGCGUGCGUAGACGGUAGCGUAAGUCAGAUGUGAAAGCCCCGGGCUCAACCUGGGAACUGCAUUUGAGACUGCUCUGCUCGGGUGCGGAAGAGGGAAGCGGAAUUUCCGGUGUAGCGGUGAAAUGCGUAGAUAUCAGGAGGAACACCGGUGGCGAAGGCGGGUCUCUGGGCCGUUACUGACGCUGAGGAGCGAAAGCGUGGGGAGCGAACAGG